rnacentral:rRNA from 1 species
CAGUAGCCGCGGGAAUACGUAGGGUGCAAGCGUUAAUCGGAAUUACUGGGCGUAAAGCGUGCGCAGGCGGUUCGUUAAGACAGAUGUGAAAUCCCCGGGCUUAACCUGGGAACUGCAUUUGUGACUGGCGGGCUAGAGUAUGGCAGAGGGGGGUAGAAUUCCACGUGUAGCAGUGAAAUGCGUAGGGAUGUGGAGGAAUACCGAUGGCGAAGGCAGCCCCCUGGGCCAAUACUGACGCUCAUGCACGAAAGCGUGGGGAGCGAACAGGAUUAGAGACCCCCGUAGUCCCUGUCUCUUAUAC